UACGUAGGGUGCAAGCGUUAAUCGGAAUUACUGGGCGUAAAGCGUGCGCAGGCGGUUCUAUAAGACAGAUGUGAAAUCCCCGGGCUCAACCUGGGAACUGCACUUGUGACUGUAGAGCUGGAGUGCGGCAGAGGGGGAUGGAAUUCCGCGUGUAGCAGUGAAAUGCGUAGAUAUGCGGAGGAACACCGAUGGCGAAGGCAAUCCCCUGGGCCUGCACUGACGCUCAUGCACGAAAGCGUGGGGAGCAAACAGG
rnacentral:rRNA from 1 species